rnacentral:rRNA from 1 species
GGCAGGGGGGCAGACUACCAUGCAGUCGAGCGAGAACUUCGGUUCUAGCGGCGGACGGGUUAGUAACGCGUGGGAACGUGCCCUUCACUACGGAAUAGUCCCGGGAAACUGGGUUUAAUACCGUAUACGCCCUUCGGGGGAAAGAAUUUCGGUGAAGGAUCGGCCCGCGUUAGAUUAGAUAGUUGGUGGGGUAACGGCCUACCAAGUCUACGAUCUAUAGCUGGUUUUAGAGGAUGAUCAGCAACACUGGGACUGAGACACGGCCCAGACUCCUACGGGAGGCAGCAGUGGGGAAUCUUAGACAAUGGGCGCAAGCCUGAUCUAGCCAUGCCGCGUGAGUGAUGAAGGCCUUAGGGUCGUAAAGCUCUUUCGCCAGGGAUGAUAAUGACAGUACCUGGUAAAGAAACCCCGGCUAACUCCGUGCCAGCAGCCGCGGUAAUACGGAGGGGGUUAGCGUUGUUCGGAAUUACUGGGCGUAAAGCGCGCGUAGGCGGAUUGGAAAGUUGGGGGUGAAAUCCCAGGGCUCAACCCUGGAACUGCCUCCAAAACUAUCAGUCUAGAGUUCGAGAGAGGUGAGUGGAACUCCGAGUGUAGAGGUGAAAUUCGUAGA